rnacentral:rRNA from 1 species
AUGGCUCAGGAUGAACGCUAGCGGCAGGCUUAACACAUGCAAGUCGAGGGGCAUCGGGAGUAGCAAUACUUGCCGGCGACCGGCGCAAGGGUGCGUAACGCGUGAGCAACAUGCCCGUAUCAGGGGGAUAAUCCAUGGAAACGUGGUCUAAUACCCCAUAGUAAUUAUGUAAGGCAUCUUAUAUAAUUUAAAGCUUUGGUGGAUACGGAUUGGCUCGCGUGACAUUAGCUGGAUGGUAAGGUAACGGCUUACCAUGGCUACGAUGUCUAGGGGUUCUGAGAGGAAGGUCCCCCACACUGGAACUGAGACACGGUCCAGACUCCUACGGGAGGCAGCAGUGAGGAAUAUUGGACAAUGGAUGGAAAUCUGAUCCAGCCAUGCCGCGUGCAAGGAAGACGGCCCUAUGGGUUGUAAACUGCUUUUGUAUGGGAGCAAUAAGGGCUACGUGUAGUCCGAUGAGAGUACCAUACGAAUAAGCACCGGCUAACUCCGUGCCAGCAGCUGC